AUUGAACGCUGGCGGCAUGCCUUACACAUGCAAGUCGAACGGCAGCGGACCUUCGGGUGCCGGCGAGUGGCGAACGGGUGAGUAAUAUAUCGGAACGUACCUUUCAGUGGGGGAUAACGUAGCGAAAGUUACGCUAAUACCGCAUAUUCUGUGAGCAGGAAAGCAGGGGAUCGCAAGACCUUGCGCUGAUUGAGCGGCCGAUAUCAGAUUAGCUAGUUGGUGAGGUAAAGGCUCACCAAGGCGACGAUCUGUAGCGGGUCUGAGAGGAUGAUCCGCCACACUGGAACUGAGACACGGUCCAGACUCCUACGGGAGGCAGCAGUGGGGAAUUUUGGACAAUGGCGCGAGCCUGAUCCAGCCAUGCCGCGUGAGUGAAGAAGGCCUCGGUUGUAAG
rnacentral:rRNA from 1 species